AGAGACCGGCGCACGGGUGCGUAACGCGUAUGCAAUCUACCUUUCACAAAGGGAUAGCCCAGAGAAAUUUGGAUUAAUACCUCAUAGUAUAUAGACCUGGCAUCAGGAUUAUAUUAAAGUCACAACGGUGAAAGAUGAGCAUGCGUCCCAUUAGCUAGUUGGUAAGGUAACGGCUUACCAAGGCAACGAUGGGUAGGGGUCCUGAGAGGGAGAUCCCCCACACUGGUACUGAGACACGGACCAGACUCCUACGGGAGGCAGCAGUGAGGAAUAUUGGACAAUGGGCGCAAGCCUGAUCCAGCCAUGCCGCGUGCAGGAUGACGGUCCUAUGGAUUGUAAACUGCUUUUAUACGAGAAGAAACACCUCUACGUGUAGAGACUUGACGGUAUCGUAAGAAUAAGGAUCGGCUAACUCCGUGCCAGCAGCCGCGGUAAUACGGAGGAUCCAAGCGUUAUCCGGAAUCAUUGGGUUUAAAGGGUCCGUAGGCGGUCAGAUAAGUCAGUGGUGAAAGCCCAUCGCUCAACGGUGGA
rnacentral:rRNA from 1 species